rnacentral:rRNA from 1 species
AUAGAAUUUAAUCUUAUUUUAGUUUUUAUUUUUAGUUUUGAGAAGUAUCUUUAUAUUUAGUAUCCUAAAGAAAAAUUUUUUUCAUUAUAGUUAAAUAGUACUGUGAAGGAAUAUUGAUGAAUUAUAUUAACUGUUAUUCUAAAAUAAGUAUACUUUAUUUGUAGUACCUUUUGUAUCAGGGUUAAUUAAAUUACUUAAUUUAUUUUAAUUUCUCGAUUUUAAAUGAGCUAAGAAGUUAUUUUAGUUAUUGUAUCAUAAUUAUUUAUAAUAUUUUUUAGAAGAGAAAUUCUAUUCGGAUUUAAAGGUAUCUAGUUUUUUAAGAAAUAAAUUUAAUUUACUUUUAUUAUUUAUUGGCUACAUUAAUUUAGCUCAUAUAUAAUAAAUGAAAUCUUAUAGGGGAUAAGCUCUUUAUGUUACUAUAAUUAGUUGAUUAAAUGAAUUUUUGUAGGUUUAAGAUUAUCCAUCAUUGAAAAGUGUGUUAUAAUUUAUAUAUACUAUUAAUUAAUUUUUUUUUAUUUAGUAACUUAUUAAAAUGCCUUAAUUAAUUUAUUAUUUUUGUUAAUAAUGAUUAAAUCUAGUAUAAUUAUAUGUAUAAUAUUUUAUUUUUGUUAUGAUAAAAUAAGGCACUCGGCAAAUAUUAUUCUCGCCUGUUUAACAAAAACAUGGCCUUUUGUAUUUAAUUGAAGGUCUGACCUGCCCGGUGAUUUAUUUAACGGCCGCGGUAUAUUGACCGUGCAAAGGUAGCAUAAUCAUUAGUCUUUUAAUAGAGGGCUGGAAUGAAAGGUUUGACGAAGGAUAGUCUGUCUCAUUUUAUUUGUGUUAAAACUUAAUUUUUUAGUAAAAAAGCUAAAAUGCUGUUGGAAGACGAGAAGACCCUAUAGAUCUUUAUAUAAAUUUAUGUAAUUAUUUAUAUAUUAAUAUGAUUACAUUAAUUUUUAUUUUGUUGGGGUGACAAAAAUAUAUAAUUAACUUUUUUAUUUAUAAUACAUUGAUUAGUGUUUAAUUGAUCCAUUAUUAUUGAUUAUUAGAACAAGUUACCUUAGGGAUAACAGCGUAAUCCUCCUUGGAAGUUCUUAUUUACAGGAUGGGCUUGCGACCUCGAUGUUGGAUUAAGAUUAUAGUUAGGUGUAGCCGCUUAAUAUAUAGGUCUGUUCGACCUUUAACCCUA